AAAUAAAUAAUAACAGAAUAAAAUAAAUCAAUAUAUAAUGGCAGUCUCUACAUGUUAAAGAAGCUCGCUUCAUAAUCGUAAAUACUCGAUAAAUUUCACUUAUCAUAAAAGUUUAUAUACCGCCGUUAAGGGUUAACAAUCUAAAUAUCCCAAACAUUAACUCAAAUCAAUUUCAGGUCAAGGUGUAACCCAAGAACAAGAAGAAGUAAGCUACAUAUUAAAAAGAUUAAAGGAAAUAAAACAAAAAUAAUAUGGAAAAAGAAUUUAUAUGUAAAUAAUAACCAAAAUUUAAUAUAGACCUAACAAAUAAAGAUGC
rnacentral:rRNA from 1 species